rnacentral:rRNA from 1 species
AGAGUUUGAUCCUGGCUCAGGACGAACGCUGGCGGCGUGGAUUAGGCAUGCAAGUCGAACGGUAUAAACCUUUCGGGGUUUAGAGAGUGGCGAACGGGUGAGUAACACGUAGGUAAUCUACCCUCAAAACGGGGACAACCCAGGGAAACUUGGGCUAAUACCGGAUGCGUGCAAGCAAUGUUUUGGCUGUUAAUGCUAUUCACGGAAGUGAGUAGUGUUAAUGGUUGAGAGCAUUAUUUGCAUAAAAGGUGGCAUAUGCUGCCGUUUGAGGAUGAGCCUGCGUCCUAUUAGUUAGUUGGUGAGGUAAUGGCUUACCAAGGCGAUGAUAGGUAGGCGGCCUUAACGGGUGGUCGCCCACACUGGGAUUGAGAGACGGCCCAGACUCCUACGGGAGGCAGCAGUCGAGAAUAGUCUACAAUGGACGGAAGUCUGAUAGUGCGACGCCGCGUGAACGAAGAAUCCCUUCGGGGUGUAAAGUUCUUUUAUACGUGAGCAGUGCCCUUUAUAUGAAUAGUAUAGAGGGAGGGAUUUAAGCGUAUGAAUAAGCAACGGCUAACUCCGUGCCAGCAGCCGCGGUAACACGGGGGUUGCAAGCGUUGUCCGGAAUUACUAGGCGUAAAGUGCAGGUAGGCGGAUAGAUAAGUUUAAGGUUAAAGGCUACGGCUUACCCGUAGUAAGGCGUUAGAUACUGUUUAUCUGGAAUGCGGUUGAGGGAGACAGAAUUCCUGGUGUAGCGGUGGAAUGCGCAGAGAUCAGGAGGAAUACCGAAGGCGAAGGCAGUCUUCUAAGCCGAUAUUGACGCUAAACUGCGAAGGUGUGGGGAUCAAACAGGAUUAGAUACCCUGGUAGUCCACACAGUAAACGAUAAUCACUAGGUGUUGGGUUCGUAUAGGACUCGGUGCCGGAGCUAACGCGAUAAGUGAUUCGCCUGGGGAGUACGAUCGCAAGGUUGAAACUUAAAUGAAUUGACGG